CCUACGUGAGGCAGCAGUAGGGAAUAUUGCUCAAUGGGGGAAACCCUGAAGCAGCAACGCCGCGUGGAGGAUGAAGGUUUUCGGAUUGUAAACUCCUUUUGUUAGAGAAGAUAAUGACGGUAUAUAACGAGUAAGCACCGGCUAACUCCGUGCCAGCAGCCGCGGUAAUACGGAGGGUGCAAGCGUUACUCGGAAUCACUGGGUGUAAAGAGCGCGUAGGCGGGAUAGCAAGUCAGAUGUGAAAUCCUAUGGCUUAACCAUAGAACUGCAUUUGAAACUGUUAUUCUAGAGUAUGGGAGAGGUAGGUGGAAUUCUUGGUGUAGGGGUAAAAUCCGUAGAGAUCAAGAGGAAUACUCAUUGCGAAGGCGACCUGCUAGAACAUAACUGACGCUGAUGCGCGAAAGCGUGGGGAGCAAACAGGAUUAGAUACCCCUGUAGUC
rnacentral:rRNA from 1 species